GGGCUGCUCCACGCUUUUGCCGGAGGACAGAGACUGACAUGGAACAGGGGAAGGGCCUGGCUGUCCUCAUCCUGGCUAUCAUUCUUCUUCAAGGUACUUUGGCCCAGUCAAUCAAAGGUGUAUGACUAUCAAGAAGAUGGUUCGGUACUUCUGACUUGUGAUGCAGAAGCCAAAAAUAUCACAUGGUUUAAAGAUGGGAAGAUGAUCGGCUUCCUAACUGAAGAUAAAAAAAAA
rnacentral:lncRNA from 1 species